UCUUUGACGCGUUUUACGCCGGUAACCAUGUCAACAAGAAUUUCGACAGUUAGAGGAAAGUAAACGGCUCCUGAAUAGAGAACAYUGAAUGUACUUUAUGCGCUUUGUGUCUUGGAAAACUUUCUUUUAUUUUUGUCUUUAUGUUUUGUUCUUUUAUCUUUUUUCUACUUACUUUUUUAAACCAAGAAUGAUGAGUCAGAAUAAGCUGGAGCCAUAACCCCCAAAAUCAGCCCAACUCUUCCCACUGAAGAAGGUUUCCAUCAGUGACCAACUCCUGAAGAAU